GAUGAACGCUGGCGGCGUGCCUAAUACAUGCAAGUCGAGCGAACAGACGAGGAGCUUGCUCCUUCGACGUUAGCGGCGGACGGGCGAGUAACACGUAGGUAACCUACCUAUAAGACUGGGAUAACUUCGGGAAACCGGAGCUAAUACCGGAUAAUAUUUCGAACCGCAUGGUUCGAUAGUGAAAGAUGGCUUUGCUAUCACUUAUAGAUGGACCUGCGCCGUAUUAGCUAGUUGGUAAGGUAACGGCUUACCAAGGCAACGAUACGUAGCCGACCUGAGAGGGUGAUCGGCCACACUGGAACUGAGACACGGUCCAGACUCCUACGGGAGGCAGCAGUAGGGAAUCUUCCGCAAAGGGCGAAAGCCUGACGGAGCAACGCCGCGUGAGUGAUGAAGGUCUUCGGAUCGUAAAACUCUGUUAUUAGGGAAGAACAAACGUGGAAGUAACUGUGCACGUCUUGACGGUACCUAAUCAGAAAGCCACGGCUAACUACGUG
rnacentral:rRNA from 1 species